GCCGGGCGCAGUGGUGCAUGCCUGUAGUCCCAGCUACUCGGGAGGCUGGGAUGGGAGGAUCACUUGAGCCCAGGAGUUCUGGGCUGUAGUGCACUGUGCCGAUCAGGUGUCUGCACUAAGUUCGACAUCUAUAUGAUGACCUCCCGGGAGCGGGGAACCACCAGGUUGCCUAAGGAGGGGUGAACCAGCCCAGGUCAGAAAUGGAGCAGGUUAAAACUCCCAUGCUGAUCAGUAGUGGGAUCGCGCCUGUGAAUAGCCAGUGCACUCCAGCCUGGUCAACAUAGCAAGACCCCAUCUCUU
ensembl:misc_RNA Metazoa_SRP Metazoan signal recognition particle RNA